UCGGAGAUAGCUCAGUGAAAGUAAGAGCGCUAGGAUGCCAUUCUAGAAGUCACGGUGCGAAUCCGUUCUCCGAUACCA
rnacentral:tRNA from 1 species